GGCAGGCCCUGCGGCAGCGCGCGCCUACCUAAAGCCCUUUAAUCAGUAGGUCAUGGGUUCGAAUCCCAUUGCUUUCACCA
rnacentral:tRNA from 1 species